rnacentral:lncRNA from 1 species
GUCCCUUUCAUGAAUGUGACCUACCGAAUUAGACUAUUUACCGGAUUUGUAAUCACAUAAGCAACACGACGGGUGCCACAUGUGGAGCAGGAUCUGCUUACCCUUCCGGAGCACCUGAGAUCACCCCUAGUUUUUGGAGGGGUUCGUGUUGUUUAUUCUUUAGUUUUCUAUGUUGUGUCAUGUGUACUAUUGUUUUUCUGUUUGUCUUUUUCAUUUUUGGCCAUGGCGUUGUCAGUUUGUUUUGGAUUUAUGAGUUUGACUGUCCCUUUGGUAUCUUUCGUCCCUCUUUUA